rnacentral:rRNA from 1 species
AACGCUAGCUACAGGCUUAACACAUGCAAGUCGAGGGGAAACGACAUCGAGAGCUUGCUUUUGAUGGGCGUCGACCGGCGCACGGGUGAGUAACGCGUAUCCAACCUGCCCACCACUUGGGGAUAACCUUGCGAAAGUAAGACUAAUACCCAAUGAUAUCUCUAGAAGACAUCUGAAAGAGAUUAAAGAUUUAUCGGUGAUGGAUGGGGAUGCGUCUGAUUAGCUUGUUGGCGGGGUAACGGCCCACCAAGGCAACGAUCAGUAGGGGUUCUGAGAGGAAGGUCCCCCACAUUGGAACUGAGACACGGUCCGAACUCCUACGGGAGGCAGCAGUGAGGAACAUUGGUCAAUGGGCGAGAGCCUGAACCAGCCAAGUAGCGUGCAGGAAGACGGCCCUAUGGGUUGUAAACUGCUUUUAUAAGGGAAUAAAGUGAGUCUCGUGAGGCUUUUUGCAUGUACCUUAUGAAUAAGGACCGGCUAAUUCCGUGCCAGCAGCCGCGGUAAUACGGAAGGUCCGGGCGUUAUCCGGAUUUAUUGGGUUUAAAGGGAGCGUAGGCCGGAGAUUAAGCGUGUUGUGAAAUGUAGAGGCUCAACCUCUGCACUGCAGCGCGAACUGGUCUUCUUGAGUACGCACAACGUGGGCGGAAUUCGUGGUGUAGCGGUGAAAUGCUUAGAUAUCACGAAGAACUCCGAUUG